rnacentral:rRNA from 1 species
GAUGAACGCUGGCGGCGUGCCUAAUACAUGCAAGUCGAGCGAACGGACGAGAAGCUUGCUUCUCUGAUGUUAGCGGCGGACGGGUGAGUAACACGUGGAUAACCUACCGAUAAGACUGGGAUAACUUCGGGAAACCGUAGCUAAUACCGGAUAAUAUUUUGAACCGCAUGGUUCAAAAGUGAAAGACGGUCUUGCUGUCACUUAUAGAUGGAUCCGCGCUGCAUUAGCUAGUUGGUAAGGUAACGGCUUACCAAGGCAACGAUGCAUAGCCGACCUGAGAGGGUGAUCGGCCACACUGGAACUGAGACACGGUCCAGACUCCUACGGGAGGCAGCAGUAGGGAAUCUUCCGCAAUGGGCGAAAGCCUGACGGAGCAACGCCGCGUGAGUGAUGAAGGUCUUCGGAUCGUAAAACUCUGUUAUUAGGGAAGAACAUAUGUGUAAGUAACUGUGCACAUCUUGACGGUACCUAAUCAGAAAGCCACGGCUAACUACGUG